GUGUAUGGGGGAAAAAGAAAGCUCCCACAUGAUUUAAAUGCGAGCUGGGACACAUGUUUUAGUUCUUGAGCGAAGUGAGACCCGAGCGUGUGUAACUGACAUCAGUGUGUGUGUGUGUGUGUUGGGUAUUAGAAAGGCCGGCUUAUUGUUGAUUGGACUCUCUGUGAGGUUUCCGAGGCAGGAGGACAUCUAUUAGGAGGUUAGCAAAACACUAUCAGCUAAUACGAGCUGUAAUUACAGCAGCAGUGAGGAAACGCAGCGCGCUAACACCAGCAUGGAAACAUUCUGACAUGCAAACACUGCAAUUAAGCCCCCGCGUGUGUGCAUGUACAUGUGUAAGCCUGUAUACGGGUGAGUGAGUGCACGCAUGUGGGUGUGUGGACGGUGGCCUCUUCGACAAGAUUGCGGGUGUGCGACCUGUCAAAUUGGACCCGGUGGGGUGGGGGGGGGGGGGCUGGAGGCAGCACAUCUGGAGGGAAUUUAUUGUAUAAUUCAGUCUAUUAUUGCUGCGGUCUGUGCUUAAGGAGCACGCACACAAUUACCGUCCACUCUGCAAGGCUACAAGCGGCCCCCGGCCUAAACUAAUAAACUGUGGAGGAGGGUGGCGAGAGGAGAAUUCAUUUGGGGUUAUCAUCAUCACACUCCUCUCUGCUACCUCUCACACUGACACUUACCAGAGUUUAUAAUAAAUCAAUGAGGAACACCUAGCGAUCAGGCUCGGAUUAUGCUCAAAUUAGAUGUGAAUCUGGCUUCAAGGUUUGAGGUGACGCACGUCGCUGGAGCAGCACACGCACGGCGAGGCCUGUGGAACACGGAACAUUAACUAAAACAAAAGGAUACAGAAUGAACUAAUGCAUCGUAUUUCAUAAACUCAUCACAGGAUUUGAAUGUAAAAUCUUUACCUGAAAAGCAUCUAGCUAAUAAAGAAAGUCGAUAUUCAGAACAUGUAGCGUGAAACAGAAAUGGUGAAAAAGUGUCAGCACCUCAACAUUUUAUUUAAACUCAAUACUUGAAUAACUGAUACUAAUAACUUGAAAAUCUGUAAAAUACAAGUGUGUUUUCUAUUAAUUAAUCUGUCAUUCUUUAUUUAGAGAUGUUUGAUUUCCGUUGCCUGACAAAUAACAAGCUUUUAUGUAAUAGAUAUCAAAUAGUAAAAAAAUAGUGUCGUUUCGAUAAUGCAGAAUAUUUUUGUUGCUCACUUACAUAGUUUGAGCUCUAAUCACUAAUCAAGCUUUGCUCACCGUUAUGAUCAAAAUGCCUUUUGCAGCUCUCCUGUUUGAAUGGAAGGGCCAUUGAGUAGGUGCACCAGCGAGGAAACUAUUGCUUUACGAGGUGAUGUCUUUUCAUAUACAUUUAGUUUGGCGUCAUAAAAUUGGGUCCAAAAUAAAAAAAACACCUUGUCUUUUCCAUUUCAGCCGCCUCUCGGAAUAGACCUGUGAGGCGUCUCGGGUGAAGACUUUAGCAGGGAAAGUUGUGCUCAGGCAGGGCAGUAUCUGGCUCAGCAGCCCCGAAUGACCCGCACUGUGUGUGUGUCUGUGUGUGUGUGUGUGUGUGUGUGAUUUAGGAGCUCCUAACAGCGCUGGUGAGGAGCUCGUAACCUUACACAAUAAAGCGCUUCCCCUCUGAGUUUCGCGGCCGUGACCUCCGCCGAAAGUUGAAGGUUCAACUAACUACACGUGUCGGGGCGGUGACCUUUCACCCCCAGUGCCUCGGCCUGUUGCUCUGUUUUUCUUCCUUUUCUCCUUUCUUGCCCCCCCCGCACUCAUAACACUUAACGAUGCUCCGUCUCGCUGUCUCCAAAAGUUAUCGUUACGGAUUCAUCAACUUUCCGUCCGGAAUGUUUUUUUAUUUUCAGUGCAAUCCAAAGAUCCUGCUUUGGUCAGGCAGACCUCCAAAGCCGACGGGGUUGCUGCUCGUGCUGCAUCGGGUACGGCCAAAAAUCCAUAUCACCGAAGGAUUCUGACGGUAUCUCGGUAUCUGGUACCCAAACAGCUGUUCGCCGCUCGCUGGCCAACUUGUUGUUAACGUAUUAGCUAGUUAGCGUGUUAGCUUGUUGUGACUGUGUUGCCACCAGAGGCUCAACAGACUUUCAAUAAGUCGUUUUCGGAUCUAACCUACAUCGGUUUUUCCAAAACCAAAACAGCUCCUUGUAAAUGUCUGUUCUGCACGUUAUGAGUUCUCAUUUUGUCAGAACACUUAUUGGUGAAGGCCUUUACCGAAGGGGGCCUGAUACACAACAUUAUAACGCAGAAUCUUUAUUUUAUUGGUCAUGGGCUUUUAUUGUGAAAGGUAUGAACAGACGUGGAUUGAUGCCUUUUUAUGUCCUGUGAAAGAAAAAGAGGAAAACCCAAUAAUGGAAAAAGAAAAGAAAAAUAUUUUUGUACAAAAACUUUAUUGACGUCCAAUUGAAUCGCACAGGAAAGAAUUGUGCCUGAAGGCCAUUUGGAUGACAAGUUUAGUACCGCUCCCAAGUCUGUACCUGAAAUACAAAGCUAGCGCUAAUAGCUGGCUAGCUUAGCAUUACGUCUGGAAACAACAUGAAACAGCUUGAUAUCUUUUAACGAUACUUUGUGUAUUGUGAUACGCACUUUGUGUACUGUGAUAUGCACUUUGUGUAUUGUGAUACGCACUUUGUGUACUGUGAUAUGCACUUUGUGUACUGUGAUACGCACUUUGUGUACUGCGAUACGCACUUGGCCGCGCGUCAGAACGGCCGCUACUUAGCGAGUUACUUAGCCGGCUAGCUAGCCUUUUACUUGUGAGGAUUUCUUUGUUUUACAACACGACCGCAGUGAGAGUCUGGCCGUGAGGUGUUGAGUCUGCCGGCUGCAGCGCCGUCCCCAUCCUGUGGAUUCACCGCCGUAUUUACCAAUAUUGAAAUAGCUCCGGACGAAGUGAGAGUUGGACGAGGAAUGUGCUUGCGGCAGAUCUCCACCCUGAUAAUAUACGGUGUUUGCUUUCUACCCAAGUGGUUUUGCCCACUUGUUUUUCUCUCUGUGUUUUUCUCUCGUUGCAGUGCGCAGUCACUCUUGCAGUGACUGUGUGUGUGUGUGUGUGUGCGCGUGCGCGAGGCUUAUUUUUAUUCCGGUUGCUGUCUGUUUGUUUGUCAUACUUUCUUUACAAGCCUUGGGGAGUUACCCAAAGAACACAAUAAUGUCCGGUGGUUACACUUCCUGUGACUAUGACCUCUGGUCCGCGCUCGUCCAUUUAUCCGACCUAAUCACGUUGUUCCCUGUGGCCUGUGGUGAAAAGGAGUGAGUGCUUCUGCAUUCAGCUACGACGGGCUUUGGUUGGCUUCUUCUACAAUGAAUCUGACGUUGAGGAUACGGUUUAUUCUGAUGAAAACUGCGUUGUUCUUUAAUUGCUGAAAUAAUAUCAAUUUUCAACGGCUGUCGUGACUUGAAAAGACACACUGCUCGAAACGUCCGUCCGACGUGCUCGGUGAUUUGGUCAGAGACCACGCGAUGAAGGCUGAUGGACCACUGAGCGAGUGGCAAAACAACAGGAAAUAUAUAUGCGAGGAAAUGUGCAAUGAAGGGGAUGAGGUCACAAUCACAAAGCAACCCCGAAAAUCAAGGGAGUUUCUGAGACCUUCUGUAUUUCUGCGUAUUAAAUUGCCUCUUAUUUUCUUCCAAAGCGCGCCGUGGUGUACGUUCAAUUAAGCUGAGAGUAGAGAGACCACAUGAGACGAAGACGCAAACAGAAGCCAAUUAGAGAACAACGGGAAAAACAACGAGGAGAAAAUUAAUGUCACGAAACGGCUGCGGUCACAGCUCCUUAACGGGCUUCCAUGAGAGGCCGAGGAGAAGAAACCCUUUGCUAGACGAGGAGCGAGGGGGACGAGGAGCCGCCGCCGCCACGCAUUCCUCUUUUUGUUGGCUCGCUGUUUUUAUUUUCAUCUGUUUGUCACUUAAAAGGAGCAGCGGGUCUUUGUUCUCUGGAUGGCCUGGAAAACAGAACUCGAUUGUAAAUAGUUCUGUUUUCUUUGAUUGGGUAAACCGGAAGGCUGAUAGAGAGGCUCACUCAACGCCACCGACCAGAAUAUACAUUCAUUGUCCCCAGAGGAUGAGCCCUAAUGACCUCAGUGAUCUCUGACUCAUUUCAUAACUCCAUGUUUUGUUUUUGAAUGGCGCGUAUUUGCAAGCAUUGAACAGGGGACCAUUCAAGGUCUCCAGAGGAAGAAUCCCGAUUGGCGACGCCCUGACCUCUCCAGCGCCGACUUGAUGUUGAUAUCAACAUCCGACUAUCGGAUGGAUUGGAAUUUGGUACACGUAUUCAUCUUCUGAUCAAAAUGAGACUUUGGCCUCCUAGUGCCUCCGUGCGUCCCGCCUCGUCUCCUUGUCGAGACGCGAGGGGCAGACGGUCAGCAGAAAGAUGGCCACGGAGAACAAACCCGGGGUCCGAAGACCGAUCUGUGUGCCACGGAGAACAAACCCGGGGUCCAAAGGCCGAUCUGUGUGCCACGGAGAACAAACCCGGGGUCCGAAGGCUGAUCUGUGUGCCACGGAGAACAAACCCGGGGUCCAAAGGCUGAUCUGUGUGCCACGGAGAACAAACCCGGGGUCCAAAGGCUGAUCUGUGUGCCACGGAGAACAAACCCGGGGUCCAAAGGCCGUCCUGAGUGCCACGGAGAACAAACCCGGGGUCCAAAGGCCGCCCUGUGUGCGGCAGAAAAACAUUUCAAAUUCACCCAGAAUCCCACUGUCAGAACCCAUGAACAGCAGCCCCAAUUACCGACAAUUACGGAGUAAACUUCCAUCUACUGUUACCAAAUGAUUUCUGUGUGUGUUUAGAGGGGCCUUAUAAAUGUACUUAUAAAUGUAGAGCUGUUUGUUUAUUCUUUUAUUGGGUCCACAAUCUUCUAAUCCCGGAGCACUUCAAAGUAUUUACAGGAACGAGCCAUAACCGGAUCAGCCUGCGAACGAGGAGAACAAAGCCCGGCUGCAGCCGACGUAAAUAUGGAAAUAACGUGGCUCGGUGGGAACGCGGUGUAACGGAGCAGAGAUCGUUGAACAAGGGGGAGAGAGAUUAGCAGGAAGAGAGAGAAAGAGACAAAGAGACGCUGAUUUUGUACAUUUAAGCUUGAAGUCAAUUACUCAUGUUCAGGAGGUUUUUUUUCUCUUAUUCCCCUGAAGAAAUUUGUCUCGCAGUUUGCAGAUUUUUCCUUGACCAAAGUGCAGUGUUGUGGGAAGGGGAGGACCGGCAGGAGCGCUCCGUUGAGUGAGUUAUGGCUUUUCAUAUAAAAACCACCAAGAAUAACAGAUAACAAAAGCAUGUGGCAGGAACUUGGCUGAUUUAUUCGUAUGCAGGUAGUCAGAGACUCUUUAACUAACCAUGGCGCUGGCAAACAGCGCUCCAUCGCUCCAUCACUCCAUCGCUCCAUCUCAAGGAAAACAGUAGCCGUCUGCUGACCAAACCCUGCACGUGACCCAUGUCGAGCUUUAUGACCUCUGAAAAGUGCAAAGGAAAGUUUAAACCAACUGCAUUGUGAGGAGAUGCUGACAUAAAUAACCCUGUGCUUUCUUUUUUUUUCUUUUUUGGGGGCUAUUUGUGUGUCCCAAUGCAUUUACUGCAGGGAGAGACUGCACACUUUUACUUAUAAAAGGUGACUCCACACUUUAUGGGAACAUUAAUUUGGCGUAAACCAGAGAGGCCCGGAUUUCUGUUUGACUCAAACAGCGUCCUGAGGGAAAGUCCUGUGACCGUCAGACACCCUCCUCUCCCCCAGGCCUUUGGACAUCAUUUGACGUCAUCAUGUUCUGUGUACGUGUAUCCUGCUGCCUAGCAACCAAGUGACGUUUGAUGAAAAGUCGUCGUACAUAAAUGCUGGUAGAAAUGGAUAAACAUCGGCUUGCUUUAUUCUGGGCAACAAAGGUAUCAACUAAACAACAUAUAUAAUCCCUCCAUUGAUCACUUGCCAAUAGUUAGUAAAACACUAAAUCUUAACUUCACCUGUCAGGCCAUUUCCAUUGAUAUCCAUUCAUGUCAAUUCUAUUUGUGUUGUUCUGCCUUUGGCUUGUUUAUUCACAGCACAAUACAGCUAUUAACUCUCCAAGCUGGUCAAAGCUUUUAUAGAUCUGCUUGUUUUAAACGAAGAUUCCUAACCUCCUCCAUAAGCUUGUCAUAAAAAUGAUAUUCUUUCACUUCCUUAAUUACUCUCGUUUAUAUGUGUGCGUCUCUGUGUGUUCUCUAUGUGUGUGCGUGUGGGCGCGGGGUGAGACUUAAUAUGCAGAGCAGAUGUAGCAGCCGAGCCCAAAGGCUUUGGACGCUGUAGGAAACGUCGUCUCCGGCAGAAGGCAAAGCGCGUCUGCGGGGUCACCGGGUCGGACUCAUAACCCGGGUCUUCAAAACGCUAGAAACAUGCAGAGGAGUGAAUGCUCGACCCCUCCAGAGGAGCCUUUCUGUGUAACAGAAUAAUGCACGCGUUGCCAUAAGUCUGGGAGUGCGCUUUUACGACUUCCCCAUUUAAUUUCGGUUCCCAACAUAAAGGCAUUUGUAAUACAAUAAAUGCCAGCGACUUCUAGGGGGAAAAUCUAUAAUUCACUCCAGUCGGGUAAUUUAUUCCAUUUGUUUAGUCACAAAGGGCUUCGGUCCGUAUCGGGAAACUACAGAGACAACUGUCUUGUGAAAGCGAGCAGACUGGCCGGCGAUCAGUCGGUUCCUCCGGAGCAGAGACGAGGAGAGCGAGCGCUCCUCUGUAGUCUCAACAACGCCUCCGAACUCACAGGGCCGCGAGGAAACUCCGCGUCAGCGUUUCAUCUCACCCCCCCCCCCCCCUCUCCCAGAUUAUUCCCUCACACACACACACGCGCCCGUAAACAAGCAGAACGAAAAAACAUCCAUCAGGAGACCAGAAACAAAGUGCUGAAAGAGCGGAUCGGUCAUUUCAGAGGUCGCACCAGCUGAUUUGCGAUCAGAAUAAUACGCUCUGGACCGAAGCCUCGCCCGGUCGCUCUGCGGCCGCCGCGCCGUGGAUUCGGGUGUUUUUGCAGCUACCAGGUGUGAACGUGUGUAAGUUGUGUAAACGUGAAGCAGAGUGUCGCUGAAAGGGCCGCGUGUGCUCUGUCAGCGUUUGCUGGGGAAAUUAAGGUUCCAAAACGCUCUUAAUUUGGUGAACAGAAAUGAGCCAUGAAAUUUGCUUUUGUGAAGAAUACGGAGACUUGACUUCAUGUUUGUCAGUGAUGAGACCCCUCGUGGGCUCCACACCGUCUAAAUGUUCAAUUUGGGUUUAUUUAGUUGUGAUCCGGACGGAUCGGGUAGCUGCAGCCAGUUAAAGGCCUGAGGGCGGAGCGGGCGGAUUCCCUUGCUGCCGACACGUGAAACCAUGGAAACUUUAAUAAUUAAAGAUGGUGAGAGCGGAAGUGUCACUGUGUCACAGUGUCCUCUUUAAACGGACUUCGUACGUGGAGUCCAGAGGAGAUGUGGAACCCGUCUGAGCUGCAUCACGUAAAAGCUGAUGGUUACUGACGUGUUUUAUGUGCAAUAUGUUAAAAUAAACCAAUUUGACUAGAAUAUUACAAAAAAACAUUAUUUUUGUGUUCUAGACUUAAUUCAAAGCGGGUGAAAUGUAUUGUCCUGGUGUGACUUUACUCACAUAUAUUGAUCACCUCUUUUAAUUAAAUGUAUUAAAUGCUCAAAACUCCACGGUUUCAAAGGGACUCGCUUUCCGGUGCCAGACACUAUUUCGGACUCUCGUCCCGCUCUCCACUGAUACUGUUUAUUUUUCUGGCAGCGGAGGCACCGGGUGUGAGUGCGAGACAGUGAACAAAGUGUAUAAGUAGAUUUGGUGUGGGACUCGGUAUAUUUGGACGUCCCUGCUUGUGUACAGUAGAGGCCCCGGGGCUCAUUGCGGCGUGUGUUUGUUUGCACCUGUCUGUCUCUGUAGAUACAACCGGGACAGAUGCAGCCUACAGGGAGCUGCUUUUAUCAAAGCGGUGAAAAUGUGACUUUACGCGCAAAACACACAAGAGCACUGUGCACACGUCAGAAUCGUUGAAUCCCAAGUGACAAAUGGAGCACUGCUGGACUGAAAUUAAAAAAGAAUAGUCAGUUUGAGAAGGGCGGUGGAUGUGUGUCGCUCUCGCGUCAUGUACUUAUCACUGACCAGAUCCUGCACAGUCCGUUUUACAUCUCUCGGCAGUUUGUGGCUUCCAACUUGAGCUAUCUAUUGAAACCAUGUGCCCCGUAUUAAACACUUCCCCUCCACUUUAAAUAAAUCCGCCAUAGUUGACGUUUUAACUUCAUAGCAGCUGUAUUAGGCAGCGUCAUCCCUCUCAAGCUACAGCUUAGAUAUUCUUUUAUUUCUUUAUUGGGGCUCCCGUUUGGCUACCCGGGCGUGCUGGAGGUGAAACAGCGAGUUCCCGGUGAUGCCAGUUUGCUGCAGAAGGAGUGGAAAAUUCCAUGUUUCCCUCUUUUUUUUUUCCUCUUUCCUGCAUUCACCCAACUUUAAUCUGGCAUCAAAUUCGAGAUUUGCUUUGCUUAAGUUGACUCGAAAAG
ensembl:lncRNA